GGAAAAUAAACUUACUGAAAAUGGGACUCUUCUAAGAAGGAAAUUUGCAAUCACUGUCAUCAUUUGUUUUAAGUAAUCUUAUUGAAGAUUGUUCUGCAGUAGAUAUUUCUUUUUCUGUGACCAAUAUUGUAAUCUAAAUUCCAUAUUUUUGCACAGUAAUAUUGUCAGUAAUAGAGUAAGGCUGACCUUACAAAAUUUGGCCAGGGAAAUUGGAUUAAAUCAAUCAUCCCUCACAGGCAUUGGUGAGUCAUCUUAUUGCUGAGGAUGUAUCUCUGGAAGUUGAAUGUGAUGCAAAGUUUGCACUAUGCAAUGUUACCAGCUGCUGAGACACACAACAUAAUUUCAGGGGAACUGCCUUCUGUGUGGGACAAUACUCUUCCGAUGUAUUCUCCCGGUAGUUCUUCUAUUGCUUCUAGGACCUGAUCUCGACAGUAUUGAAUGUUUUUGCUAAAGUAACACCAGGAUUUAUUGAAGGUAUUAUUGAUCUUGCAACUGCAAAUACAGCAUUGCAAACUAUAUAUCCUGGAGUUUUUCAAGCAGCUUAAAUAAUGCUUACAUAAUCUGUUUGUUUGUUCUAGAUCAGCUUAAUAAUGUAUAAAUAGUUUUGUCAAUCCCGUUGCAAUUCAUGUAAAAUGUUAUACAUGGGAAAUCAAAUGGCAAUAAACCAUCAGAUGUUUUCUUUUUUUU